CAGUUCGGAUUGGAGUCUGCAACCCGACUCCAUGAAGCUGGAUUCGCUAGUAAUCGCGCAUCAGCCACGGCGCGGUGAAUACGUUCCCGGGCCCUUGUACACACCGCCCCGUCAAGCCAUGGAAGCCGGGGGUGCCUGAAGUGCGCUGCCGCGAGGAGCGCCCUAGGGUAAAACCGGUGACUGGGGCUAAGUCGUAACAAGGUAGC
rnacentral:rRNA from 1 species